rnacentral:miRNA from 1 species
UACUUUGAGUAAUGUUUGUAUU